rnacentral:rRNA from 1 species
UGCUUAACACAUGCAAGUCGACCGAUGAAGCCCAGCUUGCUGGGUGGAUUAGUGCCGAACGGGUGAGUAACACGUGAGUAACCUGCCCUUAACUCUGGGAUAAGCCUGGGAAACUNGGUCUAAUACCGGAUAGGAGCGNCCACCGCAUGGUGGGUGUUGGAAAGAUUUAUCGGUUUUGGAUGGACUCGCGGCCUAUCAGCUUGUUGGUGAGGUAAUGGCUCACCAAGGCGACGACGGGUAGCCGGCCUGAGAGGGUGACCGGCCACACUGGGACUGAGACACGGCCCAGACUCCUACGGGAGGCAGCAGUGGGGAAUAUUGCACAAUGGGCGAAAGCCUGAUGCAGCGACGCCGCGUGAGGGAUGACGGCCUUCGGGUUGUAAACCUCUUUCAGUAGGGAAGAAGCGAAAGUGACGGUACCUGCAGAAGAAGCACCGGC